rnacentral:rRNA from 1 species
UACGUAGGGAGCGAGCGUUGUUCGGAAUUACUGGGCGUAAAGGGCGCGUAGGCGGUGCUCUAAGUUAGAUGUGAAAACUCUGGGCUCAACCCAGAGCCUGCAUCUAAAACUGGAGUGCUAGAGUUCUGGAGGGGGUAGCGGAAUUCCUGGUGUAGCGGUGAAAUGCGUAGAUAUCAGGAGGAACACCGGUGGCGAAGGCGGCUACCUGGACAGAAACUGACGCUGAGGCGCGAAAGCUAGGGGAGCAAACAGG